GAUGAACGCUGGCGGCGUGCCUAAUACAUGCAAGUCGAACGCUGGAAAUCUAGCUUGCUAGAUUGAAGGAGUGGCGAACGGGUGAGUAAUACAUAAGCAACCUACCCACGAAGACUGGGAUAAUCUCUGGAAACGGGGACUAAUACCGGAUAGGUAAUCGGAAGGCAUCUUCUGAUUAUUAAAGGUUAAAAACACUGGUGGAUGGGCUUAUGGCGCAUUAGUUAGUUGGUGAGGUAACGGCCCACCAAGACGAUGAUGCGUAGCCGGCCUGAGAGGGUGAACGGCCACAUUGGGACUGAGACACGGCCCAGAAUACUACGGGAGGCAGCAGUAGGGAAUUUUCGGCAAUGGGGGAAACCCUGACCGAGCAACGCCGCGUGAGUGAUGACGGCCUUCGGGUUGUAAAGCUCUGUUGUAAGGGAAGAACGGUAGAUAGAGAAUAUCUAAAUGACGGUACCUUACCAGAAAGCCACGGCUAACUACGUG
rnacentral:rRNA from 1 species